GCGGCAGUAGUUCUCCUAACCGCCCGUUACAUACAUCUCCGUCGAUCGAAGCCUUCAGCUUCGCCGUGCUGUCGAAAGUGGUGGUUUCGAUCGGAUCCCAGUAGGAAAAAUUGCCUUUCUCCGUCGGUUUCGAGGAGUUUGGACUUGUUGAGAGGUUUCGGAUGCUUCUUGGCAUGCAUCGGAGUCUGCAUUCGGUGAUUCUGCUGUGGUUUUCGUAGAUUGAUGAGCGAUGGAGCCUCCGCAGGGGUUUUGGGCGACUCUUUGGAGUUGCCUUCGGUUCUUGCCUUUCUUUCUAGGUUUACUGCUGCUGGGCAUCAUCAAAGGAAUCUCCAAGAUGCUUUUAUUGUGUUCAGAAUCGUUCUUUAAGUAUUACAUAGGCGUGCAAACAGGUUCCAAGAGAUGCAUGUGAUUCCUUAUGGAGGGAGUAAAACAUUUCACUAGAUUCAUAUGGCCACUGAUAGAAUCUUAAACUUGUUCAUAUUGCUACAAAAAAAUACCAUACUUUCCAGCAACAAAAGGAACUCCUUUUGGAGAAUUUGCUGGAAUGUCUCCUUGCAAGCCAGGGAUAAUCUCAAUCAUUUCUUUAACAAGUUUAGGAUUGAUGCUUUAUUUCUUUAACAAGUUUAGGAUUAAUGCUUUAUUUUAACAAGUUUGGGAUCUCUGCAAACCUGUAAAAGCUCAAAAGAAACUCUAUUUUAAAAGAAGAUUAAUGCUUUAAAUGAAAUUAUUUGAUAACAUCAUCCGUUUAUGUAUCUGUUGCUUGGAAUUAUAAAAUCAGAAUAAUGCAAAUACAGUUAUUACCGCAACACAUGGAGCAAACACAGGGAAUUCCUGUCGUUCUAACUUCAAGAGCAGUGGCAGCACCAAUUUUCUUCACAAGUGCUGGAUCCCUGGUCAAAGCAGAUUCAAUAUCAGUGACAAGAUUCUGAAGUCUUUCUGCAAUACCUAAAAGCACAGUUAUUUAUUGGAUCCAUUUUUGGGUGAGCAAUGGCAAAACAGAUGGAAGGCAAGUCGAUUGACCAUAUACAGCUAAUGUUGUCAUCGAAUGCUGACCUGAUGAGUCACCAACUAUUGUGAUGAUCGACACACACAUUCCACCUCAUCAUACUAUGACCCACAAGUUUGCCUCGAAGGCUCAUAAGCUUUAUCAACAACUGUUCUAAAGUGUUUUGGGUAAUUCAAAUGGAGAUGAUCUGAAGUUUAGCAAACAGGAAAGUUGCAUGUUUCCUUUCUUUUACUUCUCAUUAGAUACUUGGCAUCUGUCUUCUCCAAGCUUGGCUAAACCAUCACAAGGGUGCCCAUCAAUUUCCAUUGUUGUUCUCUUUCUUUUGGCAGGGACUCAAUUAUUGUUGCCCACAUCUCCUUCUCAGAGCAAUUGGACAGAACACUUACUCUACAACAAGAAUUAGACCGCCACAAGCAGAGAACAUUUCCUGGAAGUCAUAAUAACAAGUAUCAUGAUCCAAAAUGGCAAUCGAAUUCCUCUUCUUUCCCAAUGCUUUGGCACUGCAUGAUGUCAGGAGAGAAGAGUUCAUGUACGACCAGCAACCUUGUCUUGCACCGCACCCUUCAACAAAGACAAAGCAGAAAGCAAAUGGAACACGUUAUGCCAUCUUAAUUUGCAGGCUUCGAUGGUGAAAAGUAUUCUGGAAGAAUCGGAUGCCUCUGCAAGGCAGUAUGUUUCUCUGUUGAUUCUUUAUACUAUUUUUCCUUGUUUUUUCUAACAUCAUUGUCACGGGAAAAAAAUGGUUUAUCGAUCUUAAAUUUGUAUAGAUCUAUCUUGUGGACUUAGGUGAUCAUAUUAUAAACUUGGUAUUAGUAAAUAGAAUAGAAAGAUAUGUUAAAGAAUAUAA